rnacentral:rRNA from 1 species
CACCUCUAGCAUUACCAGUAUUAGAGGCACUGCCUGCCCAGUGACAUUAGUUUAACGGCCGCGGUAUCCUGACCGUGCAAAGGUAGCAUAAUCAUUUGUUCCUUAAUUAGGGACUUGUAUGAAAGGCUCCACGAGGGUUUAACUGUCUCUUACUUUCAAUCAGUGAAAUUGACCUUCCCGUGAAGAGGCGGGAAUAAAAAAAUAAGACGAGAAGACCCUAUGGAGCUUAAAUUAAAUUAUCUAAUAAAUUAAAACUUAAUCCCMUAGGCAUAACAAUAUAUUUAACUAGAUAACAAAUUUUGGUUGGGGUGACCUCGGAGUAUAACCCAACCUCCGAGCUAUAUAAACUAAGACUUACCUGUCAAAGUGAAAUAACUUAUUGAUCCAAUCUUAUUGAUCAACGGAAUAAGUUACCCUAGGGAUAACAGCGCAAUCCUAUUUAAGAGUUCAUAUCGWCAAUAGGGUUUACGACCUCGAUGUUGGAUCAGGACACCCUAAUGGUGCAGCAGCU